rnacentral:rRNA from 1 species
UACGUAGGGUGCGAGCGUUAAUCGGAACUACUGGGCGUAAAGCGUGCGCAGGCGGUUAUGCAAGACAGAUGUGAAAUCCCCGGGCUCAACCUGGGAACUGCAUUUGUGACUGCAUGGCUGGAGUGCGGCAGAGGGGGAUGGAAUUCCGCGUGUAGCAGUGAAAUGCGUAGAUAUGCGGAGGAACACCGAUGGCGAAGGCAAUCCCCUGGGCCUGCACUGACGCUCAUGCACGAAAGCGUGGGGAGCAAACAGG